rnacentral:lncRNA from 1 species
CGACGGUCCAGGGUCCUGGGCAGUCACGCCACAGCUGAGCUGUGGGCGCGGCGCGAGAACAGCAAUGCUAAGAAGAAUUUUGGUUUAAAGAAUUAAAAGGAAGAACAACUUCUUCAGAUAAGAAGAGCUUCUUCAAAGUUUCCCGCAUGAAAAUUACUUAAACGUUGCACACAACGUUUCACAAAAUCUUUUGUGAAAGAAGAAAAGGAAAUUCAGUGUGUGGGUCUCAGC